rnacentral:rRNA from 1 species
GUAGGGAAUCUUCCACAAUGGACGAAAGUCUGAUGGAGCAACGCCGCGUGAGUGAAGAAGGUCUUCGGAUCGUAAAACUCUGUUGUUAGAGAAGAACGUGCAUGAUAGUAACUGAUCAUGUAAUGACGGUAUCUAACCAGAAAGCCACGGCUAACUACGUGCCAGCAGCCGCGGUAAUACGUAGGUGGCAAGCGUUGUCCGGAUUUAUUGGGCGUAAAGGGAACGCAGGCGGUUUUUUAAGUCUGAUGUGAAAGCCUUCGGCUUAACCGAAGAAUAGCAUUGGAAACUGGAAGACUUGAGUGCAGAAGAGGAGGGUGGAAUUCCAUGUGUAGCGGUGAAAUGCGUAGAUAUCACGCAGAACUCCGAUUGCGAAGGCAGCUUACUAAGCUACAACUGACACUGAAGCACGAAAGCGUGGGGAUCAAACAGGAUUAGAUACCCGGGUAGUCC